CCAUAUAGAGUGAGAGUUGCGACAACUCCAUUGACUCCAAUGGAACGCUUUUUUUACAGCAAUGGCGGCUCGUGGAGCCUCUCAAUAGUUCCCGGAAGUAGCAGCAAACCUAUGCCGCGCCAUAGAGAUGCAGCAGAACAAACCGUUUGCGACGCACUUUUAACAGACCCAGGUAACUGGCUGAUGGUUCACAGGAAUGCUGACUGGCUGCUGACUGACUUGCUGCUGGUUGACUGGGCAGUGUCACCUGUCCCUGUCUCUCCUCUCUAGCCAUGUCCUUUUUCUUCGCUCUCACUUUACCUUCUCUGAGUGUCCUCGUUCUUUUUUCCUCAACCUUUGAAACUGAUAGAGGUCUAGGGGUGCAUCGUGGAGCAGGGCCCUCCUCUUUUUGACCACAGGACGAUGUACAAAGAUUGUG